GGGANCCCGAGUGCUCCUACUCNGUAGGAGCUGUCCAGUUGUCUAAAAAACAACCGUUAGCAAGAGCCGGGCAAGACCGGUGCCAGCCGCCGCGGUAACACCGGCGGCUCGAGUGGUGACCGUUAUUAUUGGGUCUAAAGGGUCCGUAGCUGGCUUAAUAAGUUCCUUGGGAAAUCUGGCGGCUUAACCGUCAGGCUGCCGAGGAAUACUAUUAGGCUCGAGACCGGGAGGGGCUAGAGGUACUUCAGGGGUAGGAGUGAAAUCCUGUAAUCCUUGAGAGACCACCAGUGGCGAAGGCGUCUAGCUAGAACGGGUCUGACAGUGAGGGACGAAAGCUAGGGUCGCGAACCGGAUUAGAUACCCGGGUAGUCCUAGCCGUAAACGAUGCGAGCUAUGUAUCAGUUUCACUGCGAGUGAAAUUGGUGCCGUANAGAANUCGUGAAGCUCGCCACCUGGGAAGUACGGCCGCAAGGCUGAAACUUNNNGGAAUUGGCGGGGGAGCACUACAAUG
rnacentral:rRNA from 1 species